rnacentral:misc_RNA from 1 species
ACACCUCUCAAGCUCAGCUUGGUAUUGGGUGGUCGCCCCCCUGGGGGUGCCCCCGAAAAUCAGCGGCGGUGCGGCCGGACUUCGAGCGCAGUGAACCUUAAAACCGUCUCGCUACUGAAGUCCCGGGCGCCCCGGCCGGAUAACAAACAAUUUUUUCUAUGGUUGACCUCGGAUCAGGUAGGGAUACCCGCUGAACUUAA